UGAGCUUUGUAUAUAUGUGAGGGAGAGAGAGAAGCUAGGGUUUACUGAGGGAGAAAGGAAAGCUGUGUUGAGGCUUGUAUUUGGCUCAGUAUUAGCUUGAUCUUGUGUACAUACAUUGGCUUUUGAAGAUUGCUCAAUAAAGAAUGAUCUCUGAG